rnacentral:rRNA from 1 species
GACAGAGGUCCCAAGCGUUAGGCGGAAUCACUGGGCUUAAAGCGUGUGUAGGCGGAUUUGUAAGUACCUUGUGAAAUCCCACGGCUCAACCGUGGAACUGCUUGGUAUACUGCUUAUCUUGGGCCAUCUAGGGGCGAGCGGAACAAACGGUGGAGCGGUGAAAUGCGUAGAUAUCAGGAAGAACAUCGGUGGCGAAGGCGCUCUGCUGGACCAUAACUGACACUCAGGGACGAAAGCUAGGGGAGCGAAUGGG